GUUGUAAAUGUCGAAUAGAAGGGAACUUGACUUGUAUAAAUGAGUUGGAAGGCUCACUUACUAUUCAUUCUAGAAUCUUUCAAUAAUAAUUACUUUUCUACUCAAUUUUUCUAUUUUUUUCUUUUCUCUCUAUCUACUCUUUCUCUUCUUUCUAGUACUCUCUCUUCUCCUAUUUUCUUAGUAACUACCUUCUGUACCAGAUCUAUUAGGAUUUUGAUCCUAACAAAUUGAUAUACAUAAUAAUUAAGAUAAGAUAAACUUAAUUCAUGUUUUUAAUCACAUGAAAGGUCAAAUACAUGAAUAGUUAAACAUUUGAG
rnacentral:misc_RNA from 1 species